rnacentral:tRNA from 1 species
GGGCCGGUAGUUCAGCUUGGCAUGAACGCCUGGCUUGCAUCCAGGAGGACGCGGGUUCAAAUCCCGCCCGGUCCACCA